rnacentral:rRNA from 1 species
GAUGAACGCUGGCGGCGUGCUUAACACAUGCAAGUCGAACGGUAGCACAGAGAGCUUGCUCUCGGGUGACGAGUGGCGGACGGGUGAGUAAUGUCUGGGAAACUGCCCGAUGGAGGGGGAUAACUACUGGAAACGGUAGCUAAUACCGCAUAACGUCUUCGGACCAAAGUGGGGGACCUUCGGGCCUCACACCAUCGGAUGUGCCCAGAUGGGAUUAGCUAGUAGGUGGGGUAAUGGCUCACCUAGGCGACGAUCCCUAGCUGGUCUGAGAGGAUGACCAGCCACACUGGAACUGAGACACGGUCCAGACUCCUACGGGAGGCAGUAGUGGGGAAUAUUGCACAAUGGGCGCAAGCCUGAUGCAGCCAUGCCGCGUGUAUGAAGAAGGCCUUCGGGUUGUAAAGUACUUUCAGCGGGGAGGAAGGCGUUAAGGUUAAUAACCUUGGCGAUUGACGUUACCCGCAGAAGAAGCACCGGCUAACUCCGUGCCAGCAGCCGCAGUAAUAC